GACGAACGCUGGCGGCGUGCCUAAUACAUGCAAGUCGAACGCACAGUUUAUACCGUAGCUUGCUACACCAUAGACUGUGAGUUGCGAACGGGUGAGUAACGCGUAGGUAACCUGCCUGGUAGCGGGGGAUAACUAUUGGAAACGAUAGCUAAUACCGCAUAAUAUUAAUUAUUGCAUGAUAAUUAAUUGAAAGGUGCAAUUGCACCACUACCAGAUGGACCUGCGUUGUAUUAGCUAGUAGGUGAGGUAACGGCUCACCUAGGCGACGAUACAUAGCCGACCUGAGAGGGUGAUCGGCCACACUGGGACGGAGACACGGCCCAGACUCCUACGGGAGGCAGCAGUAGGGAAUCUUCGGCAAUGGACGAAAGUCUGACCGAGCAACGCCGCGUGAGUGAAGAAGGGUGUCGGAUCGUAAAGCUCUGUUGUAAGAGAAGAACGGGUGUGAGAGUGGAAAGUUCACACUGUGACGGUAGCUUACCAGAAAGGGACGGCUAACUACGUG
rnacentral:rRNA from 1 species